rnacentral:misc_RNA from 1 species
UUUCCGUAGGUGAACCUGCGGAAGGAUCAUUGUCACACAUCCUAAUGGAUGCUUGUGCCAACAAGCAGACCCAGCGAACCAUUCUCCUAUCGCUUGAGGGGCUGCAUCGCGAGGUGCAGCUGUCUGCGGUCGGGCCCUUGCUUCAGGGCCGGAGUCCUUGCUGGGUUCACCGUUGCAGGUGAGCACCGGCCGUCCGACGGGGGCCGCUCUUGGGCCUCGCACACGGGAGAGUGCGGGGGCGGCGUUUCCCACUCCAGCUGUCCCUUCCGGGGCAGCUGCGCAACCAACCAAAACACUAUGCAAAAACCGACUGAAGACCGAUCCUUUGCGGGCGCCUUCGGGAGCCCUGCCUCGGAUCAAAAACAAACUAAAGACAACUCUCAACAACGGAUAUCUUGGCUCUC